rnacentral:lncRNA from 1 species
CACAAAUGGGCGGCCAUUGGAUGUGGGACACGCCAAGAACUGGCAGCCAUUGGAGAUUUGGACAACCCAAGAUGGCGGCUAUUGGUGACACAAGAUGGCGGCCAUUGGGUUUGGACACCCAAGAUGGCGGCCAUUGGUGACACAAGAUGGCGGCCAUUGGCUUUGGACACCCAAGAUGGCGGCCAUUGGAUUUGGACACCCAAGAUGGCGGCUAUUGGUGACACAAGAUGGCGGCCAUUGGCUUUGGACACCCAAGAUGGCGGCCAUUGGUGACACAAGAUGGCAGCCAUUGGCUUUGGACACUGAAGAUGGCGGCCAAUGGACCCAUCAGAAAGCCAAUAUGGUCAUAAAUUGGACCCAAUCGAGAAACCAAUUGGACCCAUCAGAACCCUUGGGACCCAUCAGAACCCAUUGGGACCCAUCAAACCAAAUUGGACCAUCAGAACCAUUGGACCCAUCAGAACCGAAUUGGGACCAUCAGAACGCCAUUGGACCAUCAGAACCAAUUGGACCCAUAUCAAAGCAACCAAUUGCGGUCAGCAAUGGACCCAGUCAGCCCCAUUGGACCCAUCAGAACCAAUUGGGAGACCCUCAGAACCAAUUGGGACCCAUCAGAACCAAUAUUGGGUCAGCAUUGGACCCAUCAGAACCAAUUGGACCCAUCAGAACCCAUUGGGACCCAUCAGAACCCAUUGGGACCCAUCAGAACCCAUUGGGACCCAUCAGAACCAAUUGGACCCAUCAGAACCCAUUGGGACCCAUCAGAACCCAUUGGGACCCAUCAGAACCAAUUGGGACCCAUCAGAACCAAUUGGACCCAUCAGAACCCAUUGGACCCAUCAGAACCAUUGUGACCCCAUGCAGAACCAAUGUGGACCCCAUCAGAACCGCAUUGCGGAACCCAUCAAACCAAUUGGCCAUCAAGAACCCAUUGGACCCAUCAGAACAAAUAUUGGUCAGCAUUGGACCCAUCAGAACAAUAUGGGAACCCAUCAGAACCCAUUGGACCAUCAGGAACCAAUUGCGGACCAUCAGAACCCACUUGGACCCAUCAGAACCCAUUGGACCCAUCAGAACCCAUUGGGACCCAUCAGAAACCAAUAUGGGUCAGUAUAUGGGACCAUCAAACCAAUUGGACCCAUGCAGAACCAAAUUGAAACCCAUCAGAUACCCAUUGGGACCACAUCAGCAACCCAUUGGACCCGUAUUAGGGGGGGUCCCUAUAGUUUGUAGUGUUGGGCUGGGAUAUAGGGUUGUUUUAUGGGGGCGGCGGGCGGCAUAUUUUGGGGUAGAAAUGAGAAGUUGGGGUUUGUGGGGGGGGGAGGAGAUUUUGGGGGUGUUUUGUAAUAAAGAAGUGAAAGAAAUUGAGGGGUUCUUUUUUGGGGGGGGGUCUGGGACCCUAUAAAGUGG